UUUACCUGAGCCACUGGAAGGGGUAGAAUCAGGUUCCUCCACUCCUUAAAACCUCAUUUAAAGGCUGGCUGCCACAAGGGAAGGAUCUGUUGCUGGAAAUUCCUUCCUUGGGGAGUCUUUCUAUGAGCCUAGAUCUUUAGAUACAGGUAUUUUCAGCAGCAUUUUCAUGUCCCAGAAAAACUGCAGCAACUGAACAAAGGGAGCGUCCUUCUGAGUUGUGCUUUGAGCUGCUCAGUAAGUACAACACUUCACGAUACUCAUUGUCAUCUGGAGCUCCUCUCCACACACUGGCUGGGCAGUACCAAGGACUUGGAGAUGUUUUCUGUCUCUGAGAACAGGAUGUGUGGGGAUAUUCUCCAUAAGUGAAUAUGCUUAUGAUCUACAGCCAUUAUUUUUUUUUUAAAUUAUACUCUAAAGUCUCAAAUAAGCUAAGAAAGUGGUCAAAAAAUAUUGAAAGUCAUUCAACAUAGUUAAAUGUGGCUCCUGCCUUGGGCAUUUCACUGUUUUGGGUUCUGUUCAAACAAAUAUGGAACGUACUUUCAGUGUGGCACUGAUGAGUGAUGCAAGCUGUUCAAGCAGGCUUAGUACCCUUCAUUGGAUCACUUAUAGCUUGUUGAUGAAAUAGGAAGAUACAAUUUUGAUGUCAUUCUAGAUACACAACAGAAAGACUUCUGAACUAUUCUCAAUCCAAUCCUGCAUAUUUUUUUGAUUAGAUGUUCACUGUCUUGCACUGUCUGCCAGUUUUGCUGUGAAUAUUCUUAUGCCUUAUCUUUUCAUCUCCUUUUUCAUUUACCUUCAUCCUCUCGCAGGUCUUUGGAGUGGUUGCAGUUAAACAUGUUUAUGACUUUACAGAGUUCAAAAGAAAAAAGGCAGGUAGCAGUUCAGAAUUAAAACAGUGAUGGGAAAGCAAUAUUACUAUGCUCAACUCCCAGAGAUUAAUGAAUGAGGGAGCCAGGAAUUCUCUGAUGUGCUGUGUAGGUACUCAUGAUAGACGUCAUCUGCUCCGUAGCUUCCUCAAAGCACUGAACUUGAAGUAAAGUCUGAAGGCUGUGAAGUGCAUGCUGCUGUGUUGCAGGUGGCUUUGUCUUCAUUACUGUGUUGGGUGUUUGGCUGUGUCAUAUUAGUACUUCAUCUUGUUUCCACUACUUUCCCUGUCUCUUAAAUGGGGGACAUUUCUAAGAAAAUCAUCUUCUGCUUUCUUACUCCUGCUCUUAAGUAUGGCAGAUGGCAGCUCCCUUUCAUAGCAUGCUAGAAAGGCAUUAACAUUUAGCAGAGGCUUUCAGGCUUUGCUUCCAGUCAUAUGGCAGCUCCCCAUCAUUAAUUGUUACUAUUUUCACUAAAGUUCUUUUGCUGAACUGGUCAAAGUAAAUCCUGUUUUUAUAGAAUUAAAAGUGAAACAUGCAGCUUUACUUUUUAAAUUAAAAAAAAAAGGCAAU